rnacentral:rRNA from 1 species
CRAAMGGCWUCUUACMCAUGCAAGUCGAACGGWGUCUUCGGAYWUAGUGGSGGACGGGUGAGUAACGCGUGAGAAUCUAGCUUCAGGUYURGGACAACCACUGGAAACGGUGGCUAAUACYGGAUGUGCCGAAAGGUGAAAGGCUUGCUGCCUGAAGAUGAGCUCGCGUCUGAUUAGCUAGUUGGUGGGGUAAGAGCCUACCAAGGCGACGAUCAGUAGCUGGUCUGAGAGGAUGAUCAGCCACACUGGGACUGAGACACGGCCCAGACUCCUACGGGAGGCAGCAGUGGGGAAUUUUCCGCAAUGGGCGAAAGCCUGACGGAGCAAUACCGCGUGAGGGAGGAAGGCUCUUGGGUUGUAAACCUCUUUUCUCAGGGAAGAACACAAUGACGGUACCUGAGGAAUCAGCAUCGGCUAACUCCGUGCCAGCAGCCGCGGUAAUACGGAGGAUGCAAGCGUUAUCCGGAAUGAUUGGGCGUAAAGCGUCCGCAGGUGGCCUUGUAAGUCUGCUGUCAAAGAGCGAAGCUCAACUUCGUAAAGGCAGUGGAAACUACACGGCUAGAGUGCGUUCGGGGCAGAGGGAAUUCCUGGUGUAGCGGUGAAAUGCRUAGAAAAA